GGUGUGUUUGAUCUGUUAAAAGGUAAGUACUGGACAGAACAGUACAAGACAGAACAGCACAACACAUGACAGAACAGCACAGAACAAAUUUUUGGGAUAUUGAACAUUUUUUUGUUUUAUACUAUAUUUGGUUAAUAAAAUGGUAUUUUGGUAUUUUAGACAACUUGUACUGCGGACAAAAAGUUGUGUUGUGGUUUAGUGAGGGACAAAAAAAUCUGUUUUGUCCUGUCCAUUGCCACCCAGUUUGUCCAGUUCCUGAAACAGUUUUAGAAUCAAACACAGUACAACUAGAGUUG
rnacentral:lncRNA from 1 species